rnacentral:rRNA from 1 species
AACGUAGGGGGCCAGCGUUGCUCGGAAUUACUGGGCGUAAAGGGUCCGUAGGCGGUGUGGCAAGUCGGGAGUGAAAUCUCUGGGCUUAACUCAGAGGCUGCUUCCGAAACUGCUGUGCUAGAGUGCGAGAGAGGCGAGUGGAAUUGCGGGUGUAGCGGUGAAAUGCGUAGAUAUCCGCAGGAACAUCCGAGGCGAAAGCGGCUCGCUGGAUCGCAACUGACGCUGAGGGACGAAAGCUAGGGGAGCAAACAGG